rnacentral:rRNA from 1 species
UGGGGAAUCUUGCGCAAUGGGCGAAAGCCUGACGCAGCCAUGCCGCGUGAGUGAUGAAGGCCUUAGGGUUGUAAAACUCUUUCACCGGGGACGAUAAUGACGGUACCCGGGAGAAGAAGCCCCGGCUAACUUCGUGCCAGCAGCCGCGGUAAUACGAAGGGGGCUAGCGUUGCUCGGAAUUACUGGGCGUAAAGGGCGCGUAGGCGGAUCAGCAAGUUGGGGGUGAAAGCCCGGGGCUCAACCUCGGAAUUGCCUUCAAAACUGCUGAUCUAGAGUACGGGAGAGGUGUGUGGAACUCCGAGUGUAGAGGUGAAAUUCGUAGAUAUUCGGAAGAACACCAGUGGCGAAGGCGACACACUGGCCCGUUACUGACGCUGAGGCGCGAAAGCGUGGGGAGCAAACAGGAUUAGAUACCCUGGUAGUCCACGCUGUAAACGAUGAUUGCUAGUUGUCGGCAGGCAUGCCUGUCGGUGACNCAGCUAACGCAUUAAGCAUCCGCCUGGGGNGUACGGUCGCAAGAUUAAAACUCAAAUGAAUUGACGGGGUCAUAGCUGUUU